GUGCCAGCAGCCGCGGUAAUACGAAGGGGGCUAGCGUUGCUCGGAAUUACUGGGCGUAAAGGGCGCGUAGGCGGAUGUUUAAGUCAGCGGUGAAAGCCCAGGGCUCAACCUUGGAACUGCCAUUGAUACUGGACAUCUUGAGUACGGGAGAGGUGAGUGGAACACCGAGUGUAGAGGUGAAAUUCGUAGAUAUUCGGUAGAACACCAGUGGCGAAGGCGACUCACUGGCCCGUUACUGACGCUGAGGCGCGAAAGCGUGGGGAGCAAACAGGAUUAGAAACCCUGGUAGUCC
rnacentral:rRNA from 1 species